rnacentral:rRNA from 1 species
UCCGAAGGGGGCUAGCGUUGCUCGGAAUCACUGGGCGUAAAGCGCACGUAGGCGGAUUGUUAAGUCAGGGGUGAAAUCCUGGAGCUCAACUCCAGAACUGCCUUUGAUACUGGCGAUCUUGAGUCCGGAAGAGGUGAGUGGAACUCCGAGUGUAGAGGUGAAAUUCGUAGAUAUUCGGAAGAACACCAGUGGCGAAGGCGGCUCACUGGCCCGGUACUGACGCUGAUGUGCGAAAGCGUGGGGAGCAAACAGG